ACACGACUACAUUAGAUACCCGUGUAGUCCUAGCCGUAAACGAUACUCGCUAGGUGUCGGCCACGGUGCGACCGUUGUCGGUGCCCGUAGGGAAGCCAUGAAGCGAGCCACCUGGGAAGUACGGCCGCAAGGCUGAACUUAAGGAAUUGGCGGGGGAGCACAACAACGGGUGGAGCUUGCGGUUUAAUUGGAUUCAACGCCGGAAAUCUUACCGGGACCGACAGCAACAUGAAGGCCAAGCUGAAGACUUUGCCGGAUUAGCUG
rnacentral:rRNA from 1 species